rnacentral:rRNA from 1 species
GGCUCAGGAUGAACGCUAGCUACAGGCUUAACACAUGCAAGUCGAGGGGAAACGAUAUUGGAAGCUUGCUUCCGAUAGGCGUCGACCGGCGCACGGGUGAGUAACGCGUAUCCAACCUGCCCACCACUUGGGGAUAACCUUGCGAAAGUAAGACUAAUACCCAAUGACGUCUCUAGAAGACAUCUGAAAGAGAUUAAAGAUUUAUCGGUGAUGGAUGGGGAUGCGUCUGAUUAGCUUGUUGGCGGGGUAACGGCCCACCAAGGCGACGAUCAGUAGGGGUUCUGAGAGGAAGGUCCCCCACAUUGGAACUGAGACACGGUCCAAACUCCUACGGGAGGCAGCAGUGAGGAAUAUUGGUCAAUGGACGAGAGUCUGAACCAGCCAAGUAGCGUGCAGGAUGACGGCCCUAUGGGUUGUAAACUGCUUUUAUAAGGGAAUAAAGUGAGUCUCGUGAGACUUUUUGCAUGUACCUUAUGAAUAAGGACCGGCUAAUUCCGUG